CUCGCAAUGGGGUGAUACGGCUGAUCAUUUGAGGUCUUCCCCUAAGGUCCUUAAAUGGAUUUGAGUCAACUGAUAUUUGACUCAACAGCAGCUGAGUUAAACAUGACUCAGCACUUGGGCCCUUGUCUUAUUGACCAUUUGGCUACAUAUGGUCAAAGUAUAUCUAUACACAGAGAGGCUGACAAAUGCGAAAUGUGGCCAGGCUGACUCCACUAAUGGAUAAUUCACCAACUUUGCAGCUGCAGGACAAGAUCAUUCUGGUAGGUGGCUUUUCCCUCCCAUCCCUAAUGUAGUUGCCUUCAGCAUUCAAGUUUGGCCUUUCUGAAUGUGAAGAGUGAAUGGAAAGAGAAACCUUUGCUCUAAAGUGGAUUUAAGGAACACCUCUGUGCCCCCAUCCUCCCGCCACCGCUGCUGAAGAAGUGAGAAGUUGUGGCAGCGGCUUCUGGGUUUCAGCAAGGUCUCGCGAGAACCCCACAAAAUCUAAUGCAGACCACCAGAGGCCUGUUUUGCGUCGGGCACAGGCCUACUUUAUCAUGAAGAUGGAUACGUCCUGCAUGUAACAUAUUUGUUAUUCCUUAUUCAUUUGUUUAUUAAAUUUGUAUACUGCCCUUCAUCUGAAGAUCCCAGGGUGGUUAACAACAUAAAAAUACAAAAUGAGGACACAAAAUACAUAAUAAAAACAAGAACAAAAACAAACCAAUAACCCGUCUCCCACAAACACCUUUAAAAUGAAUGUUAAUAAACCAAAAGCAUGUUUAAAGAGAAAUGUUUUUGCCUGGUGCCUAAAGAUAUGUAAUGAAGGCACCAGGCGAGCCGCCCUGGGGAGAGCAUUCCACAAAUUGGGAGCCACCACAGAAAAGUCUCAUUCUCAUGUUGCCACUCUCCAGGCCUCUCAUGGAGGAGGGCCUCAGGUAAUGAAUGCAGAGUCUGGGUCGGUUUGUAUGGGGAGUGGCAGUCCUUGAAGUAUUGCAGUCCUGAGCCAUUUAGGACUUUGUAGGUCAAAACCAGCACUUUGAAUUGGGACCAGAAACUAAUUGAUAGCCAGAGCAGUUGGGCCAGGAUUGGUGUUCUACACUCAAACCAUCUUGCCUCAGUGAGCCAUUUGGCCGCUGAAUUCUGCACCAGCUGAAGUCUCAAAAUUGUCUUCAGAGGCAGCCCUAUGUAUAAAGUGUUGCAGUAAUCUAACCUAGAGGUUACCAGAGCGUAAACAACAGAAAUUUGGCUAUCCUUGUCCAGAGAGGGGCGCAACUGGGCCACCAGCCAAAGCUGUAGAAAGGCACUCAGCACCAACUGAGCCUCAAGGGACAGCAGAAGAUCCAGAAGUACCCACAAGCAACAUACCUGCUCCUUCAGAGAGAAUGUAACCCAAUUAAGGGCAGGCAGCCUCUCAGCCAUCCGGUCUAGGGAGCCACCCGCUAACAGUGAAUUGAGCUUCAGUUUGUUGGCUUUCAUUCAGUCCAUUACCAAGGCAAGACAUUGGUCCAGCACAUCCACUGCCUCACCUGAAGGUGUAAAGGAGAAGUUGAGCUGUGUGUCAUCAACAUCAUGCUGACAAUGCAUUCCAAAAACUUUGGAUAACCCCACUCAGCAGUUUCAUGUGUGUAUUUGCUCUGGAAAAGGCCAUAGAUAUUUUCUUCUUUUUUAUCAUAGUCUUGGGGAUCACCUGAAAAUGUACCACUGUUGUCCACAAGCUUUAAUGAUCAUUCCCUUGGCGUACCUGUGGCUACCUUUGUAAAAACAAUGUAGUAAAAAAAAAGAGAGAACAACUUUAUGAUGAACCAAUGGGGAAGAUAUAUUCAGGAUUUUACAACACUGUUGGUUUGUGGUGUCAUUUAAAAGGAUAUAAAAGAAUCUAUAAAGCACCUUAUACUUUUAAACGCUAUCUUUGUGGUGCGUUUGAGGUUGCAGUCUUAGCAGGAAGUUGGGCCAGUGCACUUUGGAAAGCAGAUAGUUAAGAUGAAGCUGUAGUUUAUCAACAGUGGAGAUUUCUAGGAAGACUUCUGUUUUGUUUGCUUUUCUCUACGGAGAUUGGAGAAGACAGGGGAAAAACCCACCAGUUAACUUUAUCAGCCAGCAUCCUGUACACAUCAGCAAAGUAUGAUGCAGAAAGAGUAAAUAAUGUUUCCCCUCAAAACAGCAGGUUCCUCUCUUGUGAAAACUAAAUAGAAAAUUAUGAGGAAUAUGGGGGAGGGGGAGAGAAUCCAUUUUAAAAACACCCCAAACACCCUGUGGUUUGGCUCACUGCCACUUUGUGAGGCAGGGCUCUACCCAUCAAAACCCAACGGCGUGCUGAGCUGUCAGAUAAGUCACCAUGGCUAAAAGUUAACUUACAUUUGUUAUGCUUAGAAACAAAUAAGCCCACAUACCAGACAGGGCAGGGUUAGACUGUGGGGGCGAAAGACAGAGGGGAAACCCAGAGGAAGGAAGGCAUUCUUUGAAAAUAAAUAGAAGGUUCAGUGAUUAUUACAGCUUGGGUGUGCUGCCAUGCUUGUAACCAUUUUAUGCACAAGCAGGAAGCAAAAGCAGUGACCAUCUAACCAUCUUCACCUUUGCCAGUGGGAAUCUUUAGUGUUAUAGGAAUUAAGUUUUAAGCCGUCUCCGAAUCCGAGACCAGGGAGAAGAGUUGGUGGAAGAAGAUUGGAAGAAAUUUAAAGUUUAUUUACAGAAACACUGUAAAAUUAAGGAAUGUUAGAAGGAUGUUGGAAUGAAAUAAUGCGGUUUUAGCAGAAAUGUUAUAAAGGAUUAAGGAAAAAUAGAUUGCUAAACGGUGAAGGAGGGAAAGUAAAGUUACAUUAUAUUAAGAUAAAAUAGAGGACAAAAACUGGAAAGGAGGGAAAGGAUUUGCUGAAAUAGUUAAUUGAGCUAGAAUACAAAAAAGGGAGGUGUGAGGAGGUCAAGGAAAUAAGCAAAUGAAAGAUAAGAUAUGGGAAGAUUUAUUGUAUUUUCUCUUUUUUUUCUUUUUGCUUUUUUUUAUAUUAUUGUGAUGUGAUGUUUUGUAUUUCUUAAAUAUGCUGUUUUUUAAUUUUUUCUUUUUGUAACCCUUUAAAAUUUAAUAAAUAUUAUUAAAAAAAAAAAGUUUUAAGCCGCUGCCUGCUAAGAUUCAAAGGCGCACUUGGCCUUAACGAAAGUGCUGUGAAACCACGAUGAAAUGUGCUGUUGCUACCUGUUCCCUGCGGAUGAUCAGUAACCACACAAGGUUAGACCAAUAGCCCCUCAAAGCCACAGCCUCGUCUUUCACAGGGGCAAGACUCAGCAGCUCCUGGAAGUUUAAAUAUCAGAGGCAGAGAAUGGGCUAAUCUGUCUCUUUCCACUAAGUGUUGUUGUUUUAAUUGAGCGGGAGCAUUUUCACAUAUGGAACUACUGAUGUUCAGUAUACAUUACCAAAACACAGCUGUGCAAUAUGCCAGACAGAUGCCUAGCUUUGAACUUUCUCCUAACUGAGAAACCUAGGAGCCGUCUAAAAGGAGUGGCCCCUUUCACAUGUUAUCUCCUCUGGGUGUGGUUACUCCCAUGCUGCCCCAAGUCAUACCUGCAGAUGUGCUCUGAGCAUGGGACAUAAGCAUUCGGUCUUCCAGAGCCACAUAUAGCAGAUGCACAGCAAGGGAGAAACCACAGAGGUGUUGACAAUCAUGCUGUUGUAGUUAGCAUAUCGAGCGAGACUAAGGCUCUCAUCCUAUGUGCGCCUUUUGUGGAGAGACUCCCACUGAACUCAAUGGGACUUCCUCAGUAAACAUGCAUAGGAUCAGUCUGUAAGUUGGAAUUUGGUGCUAGAGCUUGAUAUUUUCUCCCAUUGCUUUCUAUCACCCAACCUGCUGCCUCUUUGCAUCCAUUUUGUCACAUGCAGGAACAAUGUAGGAAGUCCAUGUGCUCCCUGACCAGUAGUUGCUCUCCCGGGUUUCAGGCAGGAGACAUUCCCGGUCCUACCAGGAGUUGCCUGGGGUUGAACAUGGGACCUACUGAAUGCAAAGAUGAUGCUCUGCCAUUGAGCUAUGGCCCUCCUCUAUCGACUCUAUUGUCUCUUGCUGCCACUGUUGGUGUUUCCCUCCCCAACCACCAGAGAAUAUGGCGCUGACAGGUUUAAGUCAUUAGUUUAGGCUUUGGUACUCCCAAGGCUUAGAAGACAUGUAAUCUCUGUACAAGUCCCCUUUUUCUGGGAUUGGGCUGAGCUUUACCUUGAGAGUCUAUCUGUUAAUUAAGCAACUUAUUUUUAAGUAGAUACAGUAAUUAUUUCAUUGUCUGCAUAAACACAAUGUUACAGCACCUCAACACAGGUAAUGUUCUGGAUAUGUAAUCAGCAACUUCUUUGACUAAUUAAUACUGACAAUUUAAUUAUUUUUAGGAAAGACAUCAUAUAUAUGAUUGCACUUAAAGUUGUUCUAAUAUUGCUUUCAACAGGAAUAUUGAAAGCAACAGGAGAUGGUUUCAAUAUGUUCCUUUGUUCAUUCACUGUAGAGCUACAUUCUAGAUAAAUUCUCAUGAUCAAAUAUUUUGUCCUUUGCAAACAUUGUGUUUCUUUCAGCAAAAGUAAGAUAAUAUUGUAAUUGCUGCCUUAAAUUGUUUACAGAUGGCAGUCAGAAGGUCAUGUUCAGCUUAAAAGGCAAACAAACCUCAUCUUUCUUCCAGACAGAUGUUAUGGUAUCAGGAUGGGACACACCCAGGUGUGGUUUUGGGGGGAAAGGGAUCUGGGAAAGUUCAAAAUGGUAUGCACUUAUUUAUUUGUUACAUGUGUAGCUCACAUUUCCUCAAAAGAACUCAUAGUAGUAUACUUAUAAUCCUGGUUACUUAACCAAUAGGAAACCAGAGUUCCCAGGAAGCAAGGAGAAGGGCAAGGGAGGGGCACGCAGACCUGGUGCUUGUUCGUGGCUUCAUAAACCAUUUUGAAACCAUAUUUUUUGUGAAACACAGCAAAUAUGUUUGAUUUGGACCAAAUUGUCUCUCAUCCAGGCCUGGUUUGCUUAUUCCCAAUACAUGGGCUUCAGACCACAACCUUAGGAGCAAAUUUCUCCUUUAAGUUUCUCUUACACCCUAGCAUGAUGUUAGGAGUCAAAUGCAGUGACAUCACGCCAGUCUGUUUUGCUUCCCGCCAGAGACCAGGUGAUUUAGCAUGCAAAAUUCUGCUAGACCAAGAAUGCUGAACACUGCAGAAAAGCUUGGCUCCUUUCUGGAUCUUGCUGUGGCCUGUCGGAUUAAUUAAUCAAGACACCAAGAAGUGUUUUACCAUGAAUUCUUCCUUACAUGGAAAGAGUGUAAAAGGAAAAUGUGCACACGCUGACACUUCUGGUACGUAACAAGAUUUUGGUCAGCCCCGGCCCCCAGACUUUUUGCUGCCUGAGGCAAAGCAGCAAAUGGCUCCUCCCCAAGUCAAAAUGCCUCUGGACAUGUACAGAGUUGGCAUCAAAGGAAUACUUCAUUUCAGAUCAAGAAGUAGAGCAAAGAUAGCCAUAACUGCUAUGGAUUGCCACCUGCUUCCACUUCCCAUAGGUCUACAUGUAUGGGUCUCAAAAAUGCAAAGAACUGGGAUGGCCAAAGUAUGUGCCAUAAGGUUAUGAGUUUAUGCAUGCUUCCCCUUCCCCUCUACUGGUUUUUGCUCCCUUUUCCCUCUUAGGCUCAGGGUGCACAUAUCAUUCCUAAGUGUUUACUCAGGCAGAAAUGUGAUCGUAACAUGCUCCAACUGUGUCUCAAGUACAAAGAGAGAACAAGUGCAUAACACAAACAGAUGAACUUAGCUGUGAAAUGCAUUGACAACCCUCCAAAUUUAUGCAAAGCAGAUCACUCUGGGUCACAAAACAAGGCAUGCCUCAGAUCAAGGGAAUCCAUGGUAGUAAUUCAAUUCCUACCCUCCCAUAAUUUUUAUUUCUUAUUUAUCAACCUGAAUCCUGGCCCUAGUCUGCAAAACUCCAGAUGAACUCUUGUGCAAGUUGCUCCUUUGAGGCCAUAUGGAAAAAAUUGACUGUAUUUACAUUAGCAGUCUUGUUUUUUAAUGUUCAAAAACUCAAAAUUGCUCAAAAAUUCAACUAAUGCCACUUGGAAUGGUGACCGUGACUAUGUUACAAUAUUGGAAUUCAUUUUUAGAAGCUUUUAUUUUGUCAAAUAAUGUUUUUACAUAUAUGAGUGUCUUUAAGGCAGCAAUCUUAUACACACUUACCUAGGAGCGAGCCCCAUUGAACCCAUUGCACUGUAGCCAUGUGGAUAUAUUAUAAGGCUGAAGGAGCAGCUGUUGUCUUUUUCUUUUUCUUUUUUAACUUUGUGCUUUAAAAAAUACCCAGCUUCUGCUAAUCCUGGUUGCAGACCCUCCAAGUGUCCCUAUUUUCCAGGGACAUCCCUGAUUUAGAGAAGCUGUCCCACUCUUCCUUAGGGUGUGCCUAUUUUCGUCAGAAAAAUGUUAGAGGGUAUCCAACUGUUUUUCUCUCCCUUCUUUAUGAAAGUGUAUAUAUAUACAUAUAUAUAUAUAUAUAUAUAUAUAUAUAUGUGUGUGUGUGUGUGUGUAUAUAUAGAUAGAUAGAUAGAUAGAUAGAUAGAUAGAUAGAUGGAGAUUGGGUAAAGAGACCAAGCUACCUGAAAGAUCUUCCUAUAUACAUCUACCCAAACCUUAAAAUCUCUGGAGAGGACCUUCUUAGUGGUGGCACCCAAGUUAUGGAAUAUCUUAUUCAAAGAGUCUUGAUGAGCAUCUUCUUUAUGCUCUCUUCAGGUGAAGACCUCCCCCCCCCAUCCAGGCAUUUUAAACUUGAGUUUUAAAACAAAAAGUAUUUUAAUAUAGUUUUAAAUAAACCUCUGUUUUCAUUCUUUUAGUAUGGUUUUAAUCCAAAUUCUUUAUUCUGUCUCUACUAGGGUAUGGUGUAUAUUGUGAAUUGAUUUUUGUUUAAUUAUUGGAUUUUGAUUUUUUAAAUAAUUCAAGUUUUUGGUAAACUAGUUAGAGAAUUUUGCAGAUAUACAUACGUAUACAUUUAAAACAACCAGUACAGUAUCUCCUCACAUGGGAUGGCAGCAAGCUGAACCAGACAGGCUCAUAGAGGAAGAGAUGAUUAUUGAAGUGAGUGAGUCCUGGGCCAUUUUGGACAUUAAAUUCCAACACCAUCAAAUUGAGAAACGUUUUGUUAUAAAUCAAAUAGAACUACCCAAGGAGCUAUUUCAGAGGAAACCUCUCAUGUUCUUGUUCACUAUAUAUAGCUUGAUCUCAAUCACUGUAUGCCCUAAAAGCACUGAACUCCCAGCUGCUCUCCAACAAUUUGCUUGAGUGCUACAACACUGAGUAACAACAUUAUGGCUCCAUCUGCCUGCCUGCCUGCCUGCCUGCCUCUGUCUUCUGAGAUCCCAGGACUCUGCUGGCAUAAUCUCUGGUUCCCUCUGGGGCAGCUCACAGAAAUGUGCCAUCUCAUUCCUGGACAAUGCAUCAUCAAAGCUAUGGCUGAGUUCAGGGCCGUAUUUACCCAGGGGUGCAAGGGGUGCGGUGCACCCGGGCGCCGAAUUCGGGGGCGGGCGGGCAAAUGUAUCCCUACUGUAUACCGGUCCCUCUCGAUUGGCGGCAGUGAAAAGCAAUGGAGCAAAAGUCCCCGCCCCGCUCCUCCAUCGCUCUGUUACUCCGUACCAUCAAAUAUUCCUGACGAGUCAGGAAACAAAAGCAGUUUUUCCCGCUGCAUCAUUGUUACAAGUGAGCAAUUCCCCCCCCAAAAAGAGUUCGCCCCCCCCAAAGGGUGGCUAAACUAAAUUUGCGGGCGCUGGGCAGAUCUUUGCACCCCAGCAGCGCAUAUGCUACGGACUCCCCGGGCUGAGUUGAGUACCGAACUUGAACAUGGCAAGCCAGAAAGAUCCAAUCUAAAAAGAGACAACAGAGACCUUUCAUUCUGUCACAAAAUCUAUACAAGAAAGCUCUACCAGGAUCAAUAACAAGGUUAUUAGCCACAGCUAACCAUUUCUAUGUGUAUCAGUUUAUGCAACUGACUUCCAGGGGUGGGGAGAGAUGAGCAAAAAUAACAAAGUCACCCCACAGACUUCAAGAGUGUGGGGAGGCAAACGAAGGAAAGUGGGGAAUGAAUGCCCAUUUAUCCCUAAUAAAUGGUGAUCUGUACGCAACCUUCAUUUAGUACUUAUGAUACAAGGGCACUCUGCUCCCACAGUAAACACUGUAGCUGCCAAUUCAGAAAGGCAGCCAAGACAAAGCAGGACUCAGUAAACGUGAGCAAUUUACAUAAAGAUAAACAGUUGCAGGAAGAGAUUGACUGUCAUAUAGCAAAGACUUCUGUUGCUUCGUAACUCCUCCUUGAGGCUUCCAUUGCCCCAUAUCUGUCCCUUGAAAGGUUGUACAACUGUUGCAUAAUUUGGAAUAAAUUUGCCUUGUUGUGAGUCAUAUCCUAGGAAAUGAUGGGAAACCAGUAUGCUUGCACUAAUACUUUUUCAAAAUAAAUACUGAAAGUUUCUGACCCAAAAGGUUCAGUCUUAAAAUCUGCUUUAUUAUAUUGGAUUCUAAGUGAUUUACAAUUCUAUUUAUUAGGAAAAAAAUGUAAUUUGGUCUGCAUUUUCAAGCAAAUUGAUCUAUUAUGCUAAUAGAUGAAUUGGACUAAUAAAUGAAUUGAAAUGUAAUUAUCAUUCAGAUUUUGCACUUCUCCAGAUAUCUUUUGCUAUACAGUUAAAAACAUGUUUUGAAAAAUCUGUGACAUUACAUAUUUUAGAAAGGUGUACAUUGAAAUAAAAUGCAUAUUGAAAAUAAAUAUCUUUUAAAUAGUUUUUAUUAAGUUUACAAAAUAUACAAAACAUUGAACAUUAUCAUUCAAGAACCAGAACAAACCAUUACCCAUUUACUGAUAUUUCACUGUAUAACAAAACAAAGGCAAGCCAUUUUUAAUCCACACAGGUCUUUGUUACAUGCUAAACUUCCUGCUUUUGUUCUUUUCACUAGUUUUGUUUUAUCCAAAAGGUGCUCUGAGUUCCUGGGGAUUUGGGAUCAGCCACUCAUGGGCAUAGCCAGGAUUUAUGUUGGGGCGGGAGGGGGUGGAACCUGACUUUACUUAACUAUUUUGCAUUGAUUUACUUGAUUUGGGGCUGGGCAGCUGCCCCCCCCCACUGGCUAUGCCCAUGCAACCAGUCUUUUAUCAAUAGACUGAAAUAAUGCAAAUAGUGCCUCAAUCAUACUUAACAGUAGCCGGCUGUGAUGCAAUGAUUUUUCAGGCAAAACAGUGGUCCACAUUAAACAAACCACUCCUUAACUGUAAAACCCAACUUUGGUUUCCAGUGUUCCUGGAAACAGCCUUUGACUGGCAGUAACCUCCCUCUUCAUCACCUUCCCACCAUCACACUGCUACCUAUCGGUUUCGCUCAUCUGAGCAGCCUGUCCACAUCCAUGGAGAUAACAGGUUGAAAUUGAUCUCCUACAACUUGAUUAGACAGAGUGCUGGCACUCUCCCGCCACGCUCUGCUACCACGGUGGAGUCUACUUCUUUCCAAAUUCGAGCAAAUUUAUCUGCAAAAAACUUUGCAAAACCAUUGCAGGAUAUUUUUGAGUCCUUACCAGACCGGAAUGGUGAAGGUGGCUCUGUUAGACUACGAACCACCUGAAAGAGUGUCCUGGAACUGUUUUCCACAUAUGCAACAGAGGUGGCAAAGAAAGUCUUCCUUGCCAUUGCUUUUACCACUUGGUAGGCUUGAUAUUGAGCUCUCAUCCAUGGUAGAUUAUUGGUCAGAUUACUGGUCCAUCUAGCUCAAGUCUCCAGCUCUCGAGAUUUGGUAUUCUCAGAGACCUUUUGCAUGGAAAAUAUGUGUUCUAUCACUCAGCUACAUCUGAGACACUUCAUUUUUCAUUACAGUUGUGCAGCAAUAGUAAAAACAAAGCUGUUUUAAUUGCAUUAAUCUGCUACUAGUGUAAGAGAGAAAUGAGUCCACAUGGUUUUAUCUGCCCAGUCAGUGAUUUCUUCAGUGCCUCCUGGCAACCAACGGCUUUGUUAAUUGGCAAAUGUAUAGGAAAACUGCACAAUGCAAUCCUGAACUUUGGAAGUACUGGAGUGUGGUGAGGUGGCACAGAGCUUUUGAGAUAUAUCGCAUGUCUUCCAUUUACUAGUGUCUUGUGUGUCACAAGUUUAGAGAUGUGCAUGCUAAUGAAUAAACAAUCUUGGACAUGGUCUAUAACACCCUGAGCAAUUACUUUAGCCUCUGCCCCAAUAGACACAAUUUGGCGAGCAAAUGAUUUAGCUUUCAGGGUUCAAGUUCAUGCUGUAAUUGCCCACACAAGCGGACUCUCGUUCAAUAGUCUCUGAGCAACUUGUCAAGCACAUCUCUGACCUGGCUUGAAAUUGUUUCAUUCCGUGUUCACCCAUCACCAGUGGGUUUAUCUGUCAUCUUUGUACUCUGGGAUAAUGGCGAAUCCUCAUGUCACGAUCAUGUUGAUAAAAUGUCUUAUAGCUGAACGAAGCAGCAUUAAAGCUGAUACUUCAAGAGUUUCUGCAUGUGAAAUACAUGUUAUCUUUCAGCAUCUCAAACAUAUAUUGUUAUGGAUCUCUUAUCAGAUUUCUGUAAGUAAAGCCAACUGAGCUGCCUGAGGCAAUACCUGCCCAGACUUUUAAGAAUUGACAAAAGACUGUUGAUGGCCCCGAUGGCCCUGUGGGAACUGAGAAGGCAAUGGUUGGAGGCAAUGGUUCUUAGAGGAGAUGGGUUGUCUGGGUCUCCACUCCCAAGGUGAGAGGAAAAGGGGUGUGUGAAAAGGACAAUAGCUUUCAAAUUGAGGCAGGCAGACUGGAAUCAUUUUAGGAGGACGCCUGUCUCCCUGGAGAUCUGAUAUGGGAAAAGUGAACUUUAUGCUGUCUGUUGGAGAGCUUAAGCUAUGUGCCACCGCCUAUGGUCAACCUACGUAACUGUAAAUAAACACAAACAUUUCAGAAUGCAAUAAGCCUCCAGCGACUUUCUUCCAAAGGUAAACAAACUGGGGAAUCAUCUCAUUCCUGGAACGUCUCAUCACACAGAGAAGCAUAAUGAUAUCUCAGAAGUAUAUGGGAAUUCUUUCUAAGCCGGGGAAAAUAUUAUUUAAAGUAAAAACCUUUCCAAAAUUAUAUUUAGUCCGAGUCUGGAUGUAUUCUAACAGACAGCCCUUCCAUACUUCCUAGCUGAUUGGAUAAGAAAUAAGAAGAGACAAAAACAGUUGAUCAGGGCAAUCAGAAGAAGCCAGAGAAAUCAACAAACAUCAGAGAUGCCUUCCAUAUUCACCACAACUGAGAGGGAAGAGAGGAGGAUACCGGGAUGGGGAGGGGUAGCCAAAGCUGGGGCAAAAACCUGAACAAUGCUGGUACAUUUUCAAAUGUGCAGAGGAACCUAAUUCAUAUCUUCUCUAGUGAAGGGUAAACUAGGGCUCCUUGGAAGUCAUUCUGGAAAUAGAUGAAGGAAGAAGGAGAACCUUCCUUUUAAUUAGUUUAUUCAAUAUCAGUCAGUGGCUGAGUGGCAGAGUAUGAGGACCAGCAAGAAAGACUAACAACAGCCCCUUUCAUAUUCUGCCGACCAUCUCUGACUGGUGAGAAAAACUCACUAAAAAACACUUGGAAACCCAACACCCAUUUCUGUUGUUUAAGGAAAGAGGCAGGGCUAACUGGUGCCAUGCUACUUUUAUUGCAAUUCUUGGUAUGUUUUAAACAAAUUUUAUAGUUGCAUGUAGUUUUAAUUCUAUCAAUGUUCAAUUAUAUUUUCAUGAUUGAUUUUUCUCUGGUUUUAGUGGUUCUUCUUUUUAUCUCUAAGCCGCCUUGAGUCCCUGUCAGGGGAAAAAGUGGCGUAUAAAUAAAUGUAAAAUUCUGUCUAUCUAUUUCUUUUUUUGGAAACCUAUUCUUCUGUGAGGUGAGAAUUGGCUCCUUUUUGGAGAAGUGUAUUUGGGUUGCUGCUAGUGACAGUUUCAUAUGAUGUGUUUGAGAAACAUGGUGUGCUUUUAUAUGAUGUUUGCUUUUGUGCCACUUUUCAGUAUGUCUUGUUAGCUACCUCAGAUACAUUUGCUCAAAAGGUAAUUUCCAAAUGUUUUGUUUUAUACCACCUCCAGACUUAUCCUUUGAUUGGUCUGUGGAAUAGCUGAGAACCAGGUAAUAAAAAUUGUGGAAUAUUGUAGCACAGAUUAGUUAUUUAGGCCUGGAUUUAAAAGCGGAAAUAUAGCACUUGGCCUUGUGUGGGGGAGGCAAAGGGGAUUUUUCAGAUUUUCCCAUGGUCAAAAAUCCCUCAGGCCAAUUCUACCUGCAGCUUUGGAAAGUCCCACCUUCCAGUCUAUGGUGCUGUAGCCUCCCACACUUUUGGGGUUAUGAUUCCAGCAGCAUUAGUCAUUAAGGAAGCAUGGAAAGGUGUUGUUUAAUUCUGAUGGAAUCAGGAGAGCCCUUCCAGACACAGGCUGGGGGUGGGAACGGGCUCUGUAUUUAGCUCAAACUUAACACUAGCUGAGAUUCAGGGCUCAUAGUGUAUCAGUAGUACAAUGGCUGGUGCAAAGAGGGUAGCUUUGUUUUUGCUCAAAAGAAAACAAAAACAAAAAGAUGCACACUCAGGCCUACUCUAAAUAAAAAGGGGAACGGUUUAUAAAAUGGUGGGGGCUUGCCCCUCUUGCUGGUUGGCUUUCCUUGUUGCAACAACACAUUAGAAUAAAAAAGGUGUACAAAAAUAGACAAGUGUGCUUUUAAUUCAGUCUCACCAAUUCAGAUUUGCUCACCUUGGUUAAACUUAGCCAUUUACUGAUUAAUUAAAACUUGUCGUGCAAUUCCAAUGCAUGUGUGUACGAAGUAAUACUUACCUUUUUUGCAAGUCCCCCUCCAUUCAUUUUAAUUAACUCCCCCCAUGCUAUUUGGAAGAGAGAGGUAUGGAUCCACCGGUAUACAGAUGCUCCAUCAAGUAUUUAAUCAGGUCUUUCACCACGUUAGGUAUUUUUACAUAGCCUGACACUGGGCGGUUUACGGGCCAGCUGGGGGGGGGGCAUUGCAUCCUGUGGAUUCUUUUAACCGCAGCACAAAAACUAGUCAAGAGGUCUUGAUUAAUAUGUGUCCGAAUAUCUGAAUGAUUCUCUGAGUAGAACACACACACAUUUCAAGGCUUCCUCGCAUCAUUUAUGAGCUGUCAAGAUUAACAACCACGUCGUAAAAUAAAUAAGUAAGCAGGUUUUGUGAAGUCACAAAUACAUGGUGAAGAUUUAGCCAGCACUUCAGACUAAAGAGAAUCUCUCCACAGAGAACAAACAAAUCAUUAUGAAGGUCUUUAGGAAAACAGAAGCCUCCUCCAUUUUCUGGUUGUGGCUUAUUUUGUUAAAGAAAACAGUGGUUGUUCUUGUUUUAGGAGCACGGCUGGUUGGGUAUGUUUUUUUAGAGCACUUUCUGUGCUCUGGCGGGUGAGCGGGUCAAAACCAGACCUUUAAAAUUUUGAUUUGGAAAAUAGAGGGUGGGCGAAGUAGUUUUGCUGCACUUUCAGUCUUGUUUCAUGCAACUGCUCAAACUAUGUCUGCGUAUAUCUGUAUCUAUCAGUUUAAUACAUACUGUAUAGGUUUCCAUAUUAAUCCAGAACAGAUAAUGAAAAUAAAUUAUGGGUACGCUUGUCUAAAAACACAAGGUUUUUUUCUUUCUAUCUAGCUUUGCAUUUUUAAGAUAGUUUCCUUUGGUGGGCAACUGAGUAUUUUGCCAGAUGACAUCCUAUCUUCAAAAUGCCCUGCUGGUUUCUUCUAGGAAUUUAAAGCAGGCAUUGUUUGACAUCCUAUCUACAGCAGCAGAGUGUGGGGAAGGUGUGUGGUGUGGCAGUGGCACUCAUAUUGCACUGCCUUCGCUGGAAUGGGGUGAGGCAAGAAAGAGAUGGGCAGUGCUCUGAGUUGGCAGUGGUGGCACCGCAAAACUGUGUGUACAGCUGCAGUUGCCACUGCCAACUCAGAGGUCCCUUGAAGUUGCCGCCAUCUUUGUAAAUGCAGUGUCCCUGGAAGGCCAUCACUGCCACUCUGCCCUCUCACAUUCCUGCGCUAAAAAAUUAUUUAUUUCAUGAAACUUAUGUGCUACUUGAUUGCAGAAAAAAAACCUGUAAACAGUUUAGAAAAAAAGAUAAAACAAUCGCUAAAAAAAAUUACAAUCACAACUUAAAACAUACAGAAAAGUUAAAACCACCACAGAAUAGACUAAAACAGAUUAAAACUCCUACAACUUUUUAAAACAUCUGGGUAGGCUUGUCUAAAUAAAAAUGCAUUCUGCAGGCACCAAAAAAUAAUACAGCAGAGGCCCCUGACUGAUAUCCAUGGACAGGGAGUUCCAAAAUGUCGGUGCUGCCAUACUACUUGGCCGAGUUCUUACAGAUGUAGUGCAGGUAUUAUGUGGCAGCUGUAAAAGGUCCAAUUCCGCCUGUCAAAGCAGUCAAGUGGGCGCAUAUGGGUUGGGGACCCUUGAGUGCUUCAAAGAAAUAUGACUGCUUAAUGCUAGGCUCAGUUCACCCUUCUUCUUAGCGAGUAGGAAUUAUUGGCGCUCUUGUGUUCUUUAAGUAAGAAGAGGAGAGAACUGGGUAAUCAAUCACCCCACUGAGGAAAUGGCCUCCACAGAAAUGAAUAAACAUUUAUCUAGAAUUGCACAACAUACAUUUAAAAUUACACAGUAUAACGUUUUGAAAUUACAAUGCUUUAACGUAACUGGAGCAAAGCUUCCUAUCUGCCAGAGCAAACUUUGCUAACAGAAGUUUAAUCUCUAGGUAUUUUUCAGCUAAGAGUUCAACUAUCAUUUCCGGGGGGGUUGGGGUUCGAUCUGAGAACCUGUAGAGAAUAGAAGAUUAAUUAAAAAAUAAUAAUUCUCAGGGCACCAUAUAUAAAGGGCAAAUCAACAAACAGUGCAUGAUAUCCUCAACCUGUUUACAUCCAUAGAUACAUUUCCAUCAGAACUGAGUAGAUAAAUUGAUUCCUCUGCCAGAGAACAUAGCAUAUGAUAUGUAAGACGCAUCCUGCUGACCAGACUGGAUGGUCCAGCCUUGGUCCAGCCUUCCGCUCUCACGGUGGUCAACCAGAGGCCUAGGAGAAGGCUACGUGCACAACAUGAGCACAACAGCACUCUCUUGCUUGUGGUCCGCAGCAUCCCUCUGGCAUGCCCUGGCAUCAGGACUGCUGGAUGCAGCAAUUAUAUGAGAAUAGCCUAUGGAAAAUCUAAACAAUCCUGUUGUCACACGACUCAAAAAUUGCCAAGUAUACUUUUCUAGGUCUCAGGAAACAAACAAACGUAAUUUUGUGGUUUGGGCUGAGAAUGCCAAGUUUUGGUACAAUAUGAAUUUAGAGCACAAAGACUUGUUUGUAAUGGAAACAAGAAGACACAUUUCUGUACUGCAGCAUAACUGAACGCUAGUAGAAUGAAGCUCGUAAAACUGAAUUAAAGAAAACCAGGAUUGAAUUUUCCACACUGUGUAACUACAAUGGUUUUGUUGUACAGGUCUGAAGUCUUCCCUACUUCUGUGAUUGUGAGAAGUUAUACUCUAAAGGCUUGUUUUUACUAAGGCUAUGUGCAGAGAACAGGAAACAUAUUUUUUUUCUCUUAUUUGUGCAUUCAUAUUUUUAAAAGAUUUUUACAUUUUUAUGUAUUUUUACAUUUUAUAUUUUUAUAUGGAGAUAUAUAUUGCAGUGCUAUUAGGACAGUUAUGAAAUGGGCUAAUCAACCUGGUAUCAGUAAACCAUGAAUAAAGCCUUAAAUGGCUCAGGAGUGCAAUACCUCAAGGAUGCCUCUCCCCAUAUGAACUGAGCCGGGCCUUGUGCUCAUCAUCUGAGGCUCUUCUUCGUGUGCCUCCUCCAUAAGAGAUCCAGAGGGCGGCAACACAAGAUCGGGCCUUUUCUGUGGUGGCUCCCUGCUUAUGGAACACUCUCCCUGGGGAGGCUCACCGGAUGCCUUCCUUACAUACAGUAUCUUUAGGCACCAAGCAAAAAUGUUUCUCUAUAAUUGGGUCUUUGGCUGAUUAACAUUCUAGGACAUUUAAAUGUGUUUGUGGAGGGUGUGAUCAUUGGUUUGUUUUGCUUUUGUUUUUUUAUGUAUUUUGAGAGCAGCCCAAGAAUUCAACAUGAGGGGAGAGAGACUUUCUGUUCUUCACCAGGCAAUGGCUUUUCCCACCUGCCUUGCCUCAUCUUCCAGGUCCAGCAGUUUUUCCCAGACCAUGACUUUGAGAACAGCAUAAGCAGCUGGGAAGAGAGAAGAGGAGUUCAGGGAUACUUUUUGAAAAUAAUUUUGUAAGUUGUGUGCCCUUGUUUCUCAAUUUGAUCCUUUUACAUGUUUUGUGGUAUUUUAUGCAUCAUGACUCGGCAAUUAUUUUUAUUGAUUAUAGUUUAAGUGUAAACUGUUUAACAAUUAUUUGCUGAUAUUUUUUACUGUUUACUUUUAUAUUCUAAUAGAUUAUUGAAUAUUGCUUUAUUUGAUAUAAGUUGUUUAUUUCAAAGUUAUUGUGAUUUUUUUUGUAACGGAUCAGAUUGUUAUUAUUAAUGUUUGAUGUUUGAUUAUGUUUCUAUAUGUGUUGGAAGCCUCCCAGAGUGGCAACCUAGACAGUUGGACAGGGUAUAAAUAAUAUUGAAAUAUUAUUAUUAUUAACAUUUUGUGUUUUUAUCUUGUGAACUGCCCUGUGAUCUCCAGAAUGAAGGGCAGUAUACAAAUAUGAUACAUAAAAUAAAUAUCUCCUUACCAUAUGUUUUCCAUCUGACAUGGCAUGCAUUUUUCAGUCUGAAAUGCUUUAAAGCUAUGCAAGAGAACAUCUAUACCAGAUCCUCCAAGUGUCCCUAUUUUCCAGGGAAGGCCCUGAUUUAGAGAGGCUAUCCUGGUUUCUGAUCAGAUCCCAGAAUAUCCCGCUUUUCCUUAGGACUUCCCUAUUUUCAUCGGAUAGAUGUUGGAGGGUAUGGAGUAACCCGUGAGCUGUCUGAAGGGAAUCUUGUAUCAGGAAGCUUUUAAAAAAUGUUUAAUGUUUUAUUAUGUUUUUAUAUAGGUUGGAAACCACCCAGAGUGGCUGGGGCAACCCAGUAAGAUGUGUGGGGUAUAAAUAGUAAAAUUAUCAUUAUGGAAUGGGACGUUUCUGUUUCCAUCGGAGAAAUGUUGGAGGAUAUACUAUACUUCUCUAAAUGACCAUAGAGACAACCUCAAGAAACUGUACUGCACCAUCAGUUGUCUCUUGUACACCUGGUACACCCCCUUGUACUCCUGGCCAUGGAGCAUAAUGGAACAGACAGAAUGGGAUGCAUCCAGACUAAGCUAGUUGAACUUAGUUCCUACUGAAAUGAAUAGAAGUGAUGACUAGUUUGCCCCACUGAAUUCAGGGAGGGGGGCUCAAUUUAGCUAAUAUAUUCUGGAUCCAAACCUAUCAGUCAGUAGAGCAUGAGACUCCUAACCUCAGGGUUGUGGGUUUGAGACCCACAUUGGGUGAAAGAUCCCCGCACUGCAGGGGGCUGGACUAGAUGGCCCUCGUGGUCCCUUCCAACUCUACAAUCGGAUGAUUCUAUGGAAAUACUGGCCAAUGUUUACUAGUAUUACUAUCAAAAUUAUUGGUUACGAGUCCUGUAUUCUUGUAUAUUCUUGUAUAUUGUGCUGUUCAAUGAACCCCAAAAAAUUAAGGAGCAAUCUCCUGCCUCCCUUGAAAACAGAAACUCCCUUUAUAUCAGGACAGACUGUUUGUUUACUGAGCUCGACCAGCAUUGCCUUCUGUGAUCGACAGUGGCUCUCCAAGAUAUCAGACAGAGGUCUUUCCAAUUGUCACUUGCUAUCCAAUUAUUCUAACUGGAGACAUCAGCGUUUGAACCUGAGACCUUCUGUCUGCACUUGAUGUGGCCUGCUACUGAACCAGGACCCCUCUCCCAUGGAAUAAAAGGGACACUUCUGCAGGCGUGAAAAGGCCCAUGGGUGCGUCUUCAAAGGUUAGUCCUUCCCACAGGACAAAUGGACAAAAUAUGAAACUAUGUCUGGGUGCAUAGGCGUGAACAUCCUUCUGAAAGAUUACAUUCACUCAUAGGUGGAAAAAAGGUGUGUGUGGGGGGGGAAAUGUGCUUAUUUUUCAGAGGAAAUGUAAUGUCUGUUUAAUGUUCAGAAGACUGAUCGCGGUAUUAGGUCCAUGUACUCAUGUGUGGCAGGGAAGGGAAGUCUAGACAACCUGUCUAGAAAAAGAGGAACCAAGGCAUUUUUAAGCCACACCCACACAGUUCAAAAGUACUAAAGUAAACAUCCACCACUUUUCCUUUUUGAUCCCUACCUAAAUAGACACACACCCCCCAGCCUUAACGUAUGUUUCACUCCAGUGAAAUUUGGACCAGAGUCUUCAUUUUUACAAGCUUAUCCCCUAGUAAUGUUGCAGUGAAACUGUGGGUGGAGGGGAUGAAUAAAUAAAGUAUUUUCUCAAAGUCUAGGAAAAUGUAAAGGAAUUCUGUCAAUUAUGUUUGACUAGGUAGGGAUAAGGAAAAUGUAUUUCCAAUUAAAAAAUACCUUUCUUGCAUUAGGCACAACUACUGAAAAUAUGGUGGUGUUGAUUGCUGAAGUACUUAACUGACUGCCUAAAUACCGCAUUCAUUCAAGCGCCGGUCUUGUGUCUCCUCUAAUUGAAAUCUAGUCUCUGAUGAUUUCAUAAAUUAAACCUGAUUAUUAAAAUAUAAUUGUUAUAAUUAUAAUCUAAUUACAAUGAUGUUAUAAUUAUUAUAACUCUAUCACAUAUUAUUCAAUUACAGCUUUGAAUUUUAUUACUCUAUAAAACUUUCACUUAGUGAAAGUUUAUCAUGCACGGGCAUAAUAAAUAUUUCAAAAUAUUGCAAUACCAAAUAGUUAAAUUUUCCAGGGCAGUUUGCCAUACCCGUCUGAACCACUUGCCUAGAGUAAUUCCUUUGUUUUCCAGGGUGAAGUUAUAAAGACCAAGAAGAUCACAACCUAGAAUCUUUGCACCUUUAGACAACUGCACCUCAUAUGAUGGUAAGAGCCCAAGUGAAACUAACCUCUGAGCAGACACGCUAAGGAUUGCAAUCUUAGUGCAUAUAGGCUGCAUAAGAAAAGCAAAGAGGCACCAGUGUGCAUAAAUACUUUCUCAUAGCUUGGCAGCCCUUAAAAGCAAAUUAGCUUCAGUUAUUCAAUUCCCUCUGCAUUCCCCUUCAAAGUAAAAGAAGCAGCAAACAGCUCGUCUAUUAGGCAUCUCCCUGCAGGGUUCUAAACCUCUUUUGAGCCUCAUGAUAGCAAUAUUAGGAAAUGUCAAAGAAAGUGACAUGUCAAAAAAUGCACUAUUAAUAUGUAUAAUCUGUGGACAUAAAACAAUAACCCACUGUGAAUGAAUGCAGAUUGCAUUUGCUUAAAGGCAUGGUGUUACUGAACGCUGAAUGAAUAUACGAACGGAGGAAAUGUCUGUAUCUGCAUCCACUUAGAGCAGAAUUCUGACAUCCUGAAUUCAGAUAAAAAUAUAUAUAAAGCACGGCCUAAUCUGUCUAAUGUUAAUUCUUUGACAGGGUUAAUAUUUUUUUCAAGUACAGUGGUGCCCCGCAAGACGAAUGCCUCGCAAGACGGAAAAACCGCUAGACGAAAGGGUUUUCCGUUUUGAAGUUGCUUCGCAGGACGAAUUCCCCUAUGGGCUUGCUUCGCAAGACGAAAAUGUCUUGCGAGUCUUGAAAUUUUUUUUUCGCUUUUCCCCCCCUUUAUCUAAUCUGCUAAGCCUUUAAUAGCCUUUAAUAGCCUUUUAGCAGCUAAUCUCCUAAGCCUUUAAGCCUUUAAUAGCCGCUAAACCGCUAAUAGCGCUAAUAGCACUAAUCCGUCAAUGGGCUUGCUUCGCAAGACGAAAAAACCGCUAGACGAAGACUCUCGCGGAACGGAUUAAUUUCGUCUUGCGAGGCACCACUGUAUUUUAAUUUUUUUGUAAGUGAAAGUAUUUUUUCUCCCAAGUGGAAUUGUCGAAGCUUUGUACUCAUAGAUAUGUGCCAAUAAAACUUUGUAUGCAUGUUUCAACAUUUCAAAGUUCCUGAUCGAGUAUCUGUGAUUAAUGAUCCUUCCUGUAUUUAUGUAUUAGAGAAUGACAUCAGAUAGCAGGAAUGGCAAAUUAAUGAAAAGUAGACUAGACAUCUUUGAGAUUGAACUGAGUCUUGGCACAGAUAACACAGAAGAUUAGCCUAUGUUCUAAAAUACCAAUCAAUUUAUUUGGGGGCGGGUAGCGAGUAUUAUUGUAAAAUAAUAGGGAAUGCCGGGUAAUGGUCAGGAGUGGAUUUGAGCAAAGACUCACUUUCAUGUCUGAGGGCAGCUAUUGUACUUCCCUGGGGCCUGUUGCUAAGGGGAAUGAGGGAACACAUCUAGAACGUCUUGCCACACGCAAAUGGAUCACUCCCCCCUCUUCCUCAUUAAUCAACUGGCAAACCACUCUCUACAGAGAAGAGUUUCUGUGCAGUUGGGCAUAUGGCGCUCAAGAAUAACAUAGGGGGGGGGGGAAAUAGAUGGAAAAAAAGGAGAAUUUAAAAAGAGAAGAUAAAGUCAAAUGCAACUUCCUUUCCACCUUCAUUAAACUCUUCUGGAGCUUUCCCUUCCUCUUCCAUUCCUUGCAAGGGACCUCCCCUUCUCUUCUUGUCUCCCCCCAGUCAAAUUUUCCUUCCUUCCUCUUCCUUUCUUCCUUCCUUCCUUCCUUUCUUUCUUUCUUUCGAUGCUUGUUAGUUGGGCUGCGUGGCUGAGGGUGGAAGUUUAUUGUGGGCUUACAAAUGUAAGUUUUGUGCAGUGUCCAUACAUCAUGCCAACCCACAUUCUCCCCUACCCCCCGGUUCAAUCCAGACUGGUACUUGGGGAUUUCCAUGGAAAUGGUAAAUCCAGAUUAAAAGGGAAAGUACAGUGGUACCUCGGGUUAAGAACUUAAUUCGUUCCAGAGGUCCGUUCUUAACCUGAGGUGUGCUUUCACUAAUGGGGCCUCUGCUGCCACUGCACUGCUGGCAUGCGAUUUCCGUACUUAUCCUGGGGCAAAGUUCUUAUCCUGGAGCAACCACUUCCUGGUUAGUGGAGUUUGUAACCCGACGUGUCUGUAACCCAAAGCGUCUGUAACCUGAGGUACCACUGUAAAAUAGGGUCUCAUUCUGAGGUGGAGGAUGUCAUGUAGAUGCUGUGCAAACCUUGCGUGCGUCAGUGGCACCAAGUCCACAAUAACCUCCCAUGUGGAAGUCUCCUCAAAUAAUCCCCUGCCACAAAGAUCUCCCCCUGACCCCACACUUCGGCUUCUGUGGAGCUUUGUGUGGAAGAUCUUGAAUGGAAGCUGCAGGAAAUCACAAGUAGGCACUGGUGGAGGAACGAGGGCGGGGGGAGCGCACUGCCCCCGACACCAUCGGGGAGGGGGGUACAAUCGCGGCUCCCCCCCCCGGACAUGUGCCAUGCAUUCCCCCACUGCGCUGGCACCACACUCCCAUGUUCUCACUUUCCGUUGUUUGUCAUUGUUGUGACACCCCCUGCAGCACACUCUUGGCUCCGCACCCAAUGUGGGCGCACAAGUCACGCUCCCCUAAAUCCACCUCUGAUGCUUGUCAUACUCAGAGUAGACCCAUUGAAAUGGAUGAACGUGAUAAACUUCUUAGGUCCAUUAAUUUAAAUCAGUCUACUCUCAGUAGAAUUUAGCUGCAUACAUGUUUUAGCUGCAAGCAAGUUUUUAUGUAUGGGAGAGUUUCUGGGGGUAAAGAAAGCACUUCCUGUUUCUAUGGAUACCGAGGGGCAUCUGUGACACUGAUCUGAAGAUUGAUAUUUACUUUAUUACAAUAAACUCAAAGGCCGUAUCCAUUACAAUGGCCAUUGCUGAUAUGUGUGCCCGUUGCUUCGGCUCCGAGUAAACAGGAAGCUGUUUCUGAUAACAUUUCUGAUGAUUUAACUGGGGUGAUUCUAACUUCCUGUGUGUGACAUAAUAAUGAAUCACUUUAUGAAGCCAGGAUUGAGUAUGUUCACAUUUUCUGGGCUUUUGUUGUGGAGAUAUGUCUGACUUUAGUCAUUAAACGUCAACGUCAUUCUUUCUUGCCAUAUAUUUACUUUCCUGACCCUCUGGGCAGGUUUUUUCCUUCCCCCAAGUGAAAUUGACUCUGCAGCAAGACCAAACAAAGAAGUGGUCUGAUCCAGGAUGACACAUGUACUUUUGUUUUUCUAAAGAGGAUUGGCAAAGGGAUGAAAACACACCUUUUUAUUCUGCAGUGGCAGAAAACAAAUAAAAAAAAUCCCUAGAUUACAAAGCAAAACUAUCUGAACAACUGAUCUGUGUUUGUUGAGUCUGAUUAUCUUGGAGUGGAGCAGCUCCCAGGAGCAUGCCUUGUUGAACAAGGAGGCAAUAUAUGUAUAUAUGUGAGCCAACAUGCGCUUGUAAUUCAUCCUGAGCUCACUUAAAAUCAUGCCUGAGGUUUGGAUGUGAGUUAGCCAUCUCAUUGUCCCGGUGAUUGUAAGGCCCAUCGAUUUAUCUUGGUGUGUCUGAUUGUAUCGGUGUCUGAAUCAAAGACCAUGAGAAGCUCUGGGUAAGACUCUCUGAACUUUCGUAAGAGGAACCAGACGUUUGCAAAUAAAUAUUAAUAAUUGAGGAUAUCUUAAAUGCACCUUUUGAAACAGCAAACAAUUAUAAAAAGUCUCAUGACACCUUAUAAACCAACAAAUUUAGUAUGGAAAUAAGUGUUGGUGCUCUAGAUUCUGGUCUUGAGGGUGCCAUAUGACUCCUUGCUGUUCUUGCAAGACUUUUAAAAAAGGUAAAGGACCCCUGACAGUUAAGUCGAGUCGCAGACGACUCUGGGGUUGCGGUGCUCAUCUCGCUUUACAGGCCAAGGGAGCCGGCGUUUGUCCGCAGACAGUUUUUCCGGGUCAUGUGGCCAGCACGACUAAGCCGCUUCUAGGUUGGAAGGAGCUAGGACCGAGCAAUGGGAGCUCACCCCGUUGCGGGGAUUUGAACCGCCGACCUUCUGAUUGGCAAGCCCAAGAGGCUCAGUGGUUUAGACCACAGUGCCACCCGUGUCCCUACUUUAGACUUAGGCUGAUUGAAUUUAUGACACACGUCUCACAACAAAAAGUCCCAAAGCAAAUAAAGUACAGUAAUAAAAAUUGUAAACAUAUUAAAGCAUAUUUAAAACCUAGAAUUUAAAGAAAGCAUACGAUCAUUGGUGUUACCCAAAGGCCCAGGAAAACACAAGCAUAUUUGCCUGUUGUUGAAAAAAAGGACAAAGUUUGUGUCAGGCAGGCCUCUUCAGAGAAAGCAUUCAAUAGAAUGGGAGCUAUGACAAAAAACCAAGCAUUAUUUCUUCUUGCUAGAACAAACUUCAAGGCAAAUAGCUUACGUUGUGCAUCUAGAGAAUGUUUCAGAAAGGGUUAUUUGGGGGCUUCCAUAGGGAAAAACAGAAAUGUAAAGGAGAUGAGAAGAGCUGUCAGAUCAUCUGAUGCAUUAAGCUUCAUUAGUUACCAGAGUAGGUGUCUUUCUUGGGACCUAACAAUAAGGAGAAAUAAGGUGUAGGCUGUAAUUCAUAGCAUCAAAAAUGAUGAAAUGAAUCAUUGGCAAGUUCCUGUGACUACAAUGUUUUGAACUUCCUUUUGCCUUGACUUGGCAAAAUUUGAAGGCAAAAUGUAACAAGUAAGUUAAGUUCAAUCAAUUUAAAGUCAUGUCUCAAUGUCAGGCAAGCUCUGGUUGUGGAAAUGGCCUCAGGGUAAUGUCACUUAGAGCGAGGGUUGCCACAGACUUUGCCCUCAGCACCUUUCCCUCCUCAUUGGCUAUUACUCAUAUUUUGUUUAAAAUUGAAGCAUUUUGAAUAAUAAAGAAAUGUCGCACUUUGCUCAAACAAGGCAUCUGUUCCAGCAAAAUGUUAUGUUUUGAUCAUUUAAAAACGAGAUUUUUUUUAAUGAAGCCAUGUGGACGUGAGGAUGAGUCAACAGUUGGAGUGAUUACUGUGUGCGAAGUUAUUUUGAAUCGUGCCAUAAUUAAAAAUACAUUGAAAGAUAAUCAUGUACCUGAAAUAUUACUUCAUUGCUGUUACUAUUUGCCUCGGUUUUAUUUUUACUCUACAGCUGACAUUUAGCUGGAAAGAAAAAUAGAACAAUUUUACUGCCCAAGAACCUCAGGUGAUUAAAUAUAAUGGAAUCAUCUAUAUGAAGAAUUUCUGAAUGAGGAUUAGACUAUUAUAUCAACAUCCCAAUCCGGGCUGGCCCUAGCAUUAGGUAGGUGGCUGCCUCAGGCAGCAGAUUUUGAGUUUCAUGAAAGGGCAGCAAUUAUUGGGCAUUAAUUUAUUCUUAUUUUAUCUGUACUGCCAGGGAGGUGGAAAGGCACUUGGGGGUUUUCUUCUCCAGUUGCCAAAAUGCACAUCUGGCCACAUGUCCUCUUGACCCCUGUCCCACUUCACUUAUUAGAUCUAGCAGAGGCAAGUUGACUGGUUAUGUCCAGAGUACGGGUAACACUUCAAUGUGUGAGGGAUGUCCCUGGCACCUUGUAAGAGGUGGCGGUGUGGUCAAUGCUAAAGAAGCCGGCCCUGGACCUGUUGUUUGGACUAACAUACCAGUCACAAGUACUCCUUAAGGAAGGUGGUGGAGAGGGUUGCAGUAGGGCAGCUGUAAAUAUUAUUGGAUGGUCUAGACCCAUUCUAAUUUGCAUUCAGGCCUGGCUGUGGAACCACCUUUACUAAGAGUGGAACAAGGGGAGCGUGACCAAGCUCCUCUUUCUCAAUCUGUCUGUGACUUUUAAUACUUCUGACCACGGUAUCCUCCUGAACCAGCUCUGUGGGAUUAGGAGCACUGUGGUGUUGUUGGUCAAUGUGUCUGGCUGUUAACCAGAAGGUUGGUGUUUCAAGCCCACCCAGGGAUGACUGUGGGCAGAAUUCCUGCAUUGCAGGCAUUGGUCUAGUUUACCAUUGGGAUCCCUUCCAACUCCACUAUUAUAUUAUUAUAUUAUACUAUACUAUACUAUACUAUACUAUAUUAUAUUAUAUUAUAUUAUAUUAUAUUAUAUUAUAUUAUAUUAUAUUAUAUUAUAUUAUAUUAUAUUAUAUUUCUAUCUAUCCCAUCUUUCCCCCUGACAGGGACUCAAGGUGGCGUACAGAAAAUAAGAACUGCUAUAAACUUAGGGAGGAAAAUCAUUAAAAACAGUUAGACAUUGA